CGCGGUCCCUCGGCCCCGGGGCCCCGCGGUGCUGGCCCGGGGGUCCCGGGGUGCCCCUGCCCCGCUGAGCGGGCGCUCGGAGCCCCGGAGGGAAUUAGAAAGUUGGUUCGGGUCCUCUGCUCGCCCCGCUGUUCCCCCUUUUUAUUAUUAUUUUUAAUAAGUCAGGGCGGCGGGGGGCUUCACUCUGCGCUUGUGGGCUGUGCAGGACGUGUAGCCAACCCCGUGGUAGGCAGCCACCUCUGAGAGCACCGCCUGAAUCAUUUCCAGGUCCAGCCGAGCCUUUCCAGGUGCAGUUUCUCUUUAGGAAAAAAAAAAAAAAAUAAUUUCCAUUCACCUGUGUGUUUUGGACUUCAUUCUGCAGACAGGUAUGAGUAACGUCGGGCAUGUACAGUUGCAUUUGUGGCACCGUGACGUUAUUUUAUAAUGCCCUCCGGCAAGGAAACUCGGCUGCUCUGUUUGUGCAGCACCCACAGCAGCCGGUCCCGUCUGGCAGUCCUGUUCCUGGCCACGGCUUGGUGAUUGUGGUAAGGCCAGGUAGCCCACGUUAGAUAUUGUUGCUGAAAGUUGGCUUCAGCUAGUCAAGCCAUCCCGCUAAACAUUGGGUCUCGCUUCUUCACCAGGAGAAGCGUUAAAAGUGCUGUGUCCUGUCCUCUUGGUCUGUGUUUGCAAAGUGGAGCCGUAGUUCGUAAUUGGGAAUCUUCAUGUUACACAAUUAAUAAUGUGCUUAAGAAAGUGCUAGGUGUACAGUCUUUUGAUCUGGAAAGAAAAUAAACCAUUCAUGUCUGGGUUUGCAAAGUGCCGGGAUGCUGCCUCUUCCACUGUCUCGUUGCCACCUGGCAUGUGCCCAUAGAGCAAUCCAAUGAGCUUACUAUAACCCUCUUCUGGGACAGCAUUAGAUAAAUCUUAACAAACUUUUUUUUCUGUGUGAGGAUGCUCUGAGAUGAGAUUCCACCUCAACAAAGUGUAAUGUAGUGAGCAGAUCAAAAUUCAAGCAUGCUGUUGUUUUGAAGAGAAUUUGUUAUCUCAGUGCAAAACAAGUUCACAGCUAUUUUAGUAUGCUUACAUUACUUUUACAGGUAAAUGUGCUUCCUCUUCCUUCUCCCUUCCCCUUCUUUUUCAUUAAUUAGAAUUAUUAGUGUUGAGAAAUCAAAAACUUUUUUUUUCUAGUGGAGAUAGUUGAACCAAUUCAAGGUAUCUCAUCUCCCUACAAACUUUGCGAUAUUUAUGGUUUCAGUCCAGUGUGCCCGUUUCACUGUUACUACUACACUAGACAUCUAUAGGACAGCAGUUACUCAGUGGUCGUACAAUAAACAUUACCAUUUUUGAUCCUUUUAGAAAAGCAGUUAUAAUUUAUGAGGUCCUGGUAGAUAGAACUCCCCAAAAAAUUUUUAGGCAUCUCCAACUCGAAAAGCUUUAAAGAAAUGUGGUCUUCUGAUAUAAAUGCAAAGAAAAGUGGAGUUUAUUUAAGGUAUGCAAUUUAAAAACAAGCCCUAUACAUUCAACCAGACAGAGCGUGAAGGAUUAUCUAGAUUUGACUCAUCUGUGUAUAUUGUGCAUUUUAGGCUGAACGCUGAGCUGAGUAACAGUCCACUGGAGUGAUUUCACUGCUCGCUUUUCUGGAUUGUACCAACUUUUAAAAUGUUUUUGGUAUUCCAGAGCUGUUUAUUUCUUUGAAGGAAACUAGACUAGCAGUUGAUGAGACUUGAAAAGACUGGAGACUCAGUUCAAUAUUUGAUGAAACCAUUUGCUGUUUAAUUUUACAUAGGUAAGUGAUUUUCUUCACUGACAUCUUACAUAUCCUACAUGCAGCUGAAAAUACUCCUUAAGCAAGCUGAAACAGGACAAUUCAAAGUCAACUUGAAGUGAAAUGAGGAACUUGCUUGGCUCAGACUUGUGCAUCUGUAGUCCCAACUGGAAAGGUCCAGACAAGAACCUUUCUGAAGUUUGCCACAGGGAGAAAAGCAGCUCACCCUCUGCAACUGCAGGAUUCCUUCUGGCAGGCUCACCGCACAGUCACGCUCCAGACUACCUCUCCUGAGUGCCUGGCUGUGUUGAGUUGCUGUUACGUUUGGUGCCCUGUCUCUGAUAGGGCUCUCGAAUCCUUCAUCAUCUGUGAAGUUAUUUGAACCACUGAGUUACCUACUCCUUCCUGCGCAAAGCAUCGAAGCAUAGCCUCAUCCUCGAAAGCGGUUUGAAUUGCUCGUGUGCAGCUUAGACGCACUCAUCGGUGUGCCUGGGGGAGCACUGGAAGCAGAUGCCUCCAGCAGGCAUUGUGAGUAGAGUUUAGUUCAUCUGCUGACGUGGAAGGCUUUUGUGGAAAGUGAAGCCUCACCGCCUGAUAAGCACAAGAUGAUGUUGCAGAAAUAGGUAAGAAGGCCAAGCGUGCUGCAAUAGCAAGAGUGCAGCCAGCAGAUGCGCAGGGUGAUUGUUCGCCUCUUUUUGGCACUCAGGACGUCGCCCUUGGAGCACCGUGCCCAGGUUUGGUCUCUGAAGGACAGGAGACAUGGACUUGCUGAAGCAAAUCCAGAGGGUGGCUCCCAGGAUGUGCAGGGGGCUGAAGUACAUCAUGUACGAGGAGAGGCUGGGAAACCCAAAUUUGUUUGGCCUUGGUAAGAGAAGUUUCAGGGGAAUCUUAUGGCUCUCUUCAGGUAUAUAACCUGAGGGUGUAGAGAAGACAGAAAUGCUCCAUGUAGAGGUAUGGACCAGAAGGACAACAGCCAGCAGUCACAAGUCACAGUGAAGAAAUUCUCACUGGCCGUAAAGAAAAAUGUUCUCCACAUGAGGGUAUUUAAACGCUGGGGCAGGCACUUAGGGAGGCUGUGGGAUCUGCAGCCUUGGAAAUUGGCUGGAAGCUUGACUGGAAAAGGUGCCGAGCAACCUGCUGUAGUUGCCCUUGCUUUGAGUUUCGUGGGAUUUGUUGAACUAGUUGGCCUCUGGAGAUCCCUUCCAAACUAAAUUAUUUAAUUCUAAAUGCAGCAUCACUCAGUGUAAGAAGGUGGAACUCAGGAAAGGAAAAUGUGAGCUCGGGGAGCCAAAAAGAAUCAAAAUGUAUUAACUUUAAUGAAGGACUAUGUACAGGUAUUCAUUCACAGGACAAAAAUCUGGUUUGCUUUCCAACUUUAAAAAUAAAAUGAUAAAGUGGGGACUAAACAUAAAGGAAAUCUGGUCUGCAAUGUUCAUUUCUAAUUUAAAAGUUGCAACCUUCUGAGCUUAGAAUGAAAUGAAUCUGCAACUUUGAAGACCUACAAAGAUUAUUUAAAAUCACUACCAGAUGGUUUGUCUCUUCUUGAUAUAUUAGGUUAUUAAACAAAAGUGGCCAAACUGUUUUAUUAAUAUGUAAAAUUAGGAUUUUAAAGGCUGGUGUGCGUAGCUUAGUGUGUGGACUUCCCGGUGGGUUCUCCUGGGUCCUGGGAUACAGCAAUCUGAAGAAAACCCGUACCUAGAUGACAGGUAAUCAAAUCGACCUCUGGAUAGCUAUUUUCUCUUUAUUUAUUUUUGAGCUUGGAUUUGCAGCUACAGUAACCUACUUACUAUAUGAUCUGGCUAUUGUUACUAUUUGUCAGUGCUAUUAAAAGAUUCCCCAGAAAGCAGGGAAGAAUUAUAUACUGUGUGUGUCUCAACAAACUGCAUUUGCUGUCUCUUUCUUAAUUCUUUACUUUAAAAAUCUGAGUAGAAAUUUGAACCUUAACAUAUUUUUUUGGCUUUUUCAU